rnacentral:rRNA from 1 species
UGAACGCUAGCUACAGGCUUAACACAUGCAAGUCGAGGGGCAGCAUGGUCUUAGCUUGCUAAGGCCGAUGGCGACCGGCGCACGGGUGAGUAACGCGUAUCCAACCUGCCUUACACUCUUGGACAGCCUUCUGAAAGGGAGAUUAAUACAAGAUGUUAUCAUGAGUAAGCAUUUUCGCAUGAUUAAAGGUUUACCGGUGUAAGAUGGGGAUGCGUUCCAUUAGAUAGUAGGCGGGGUAACGGCCCACCUAGUCUUCGAUGGAUAGGGGUUCUGAGAGGAAGGUCCCCCACAUUGGAACUGAGACACGGUCCAAACUCCUACGGGAGGCAGCAGUGAGGAAUAUUGGUCAAUGGACGAGAGUCUGAACCAGCCAAGUAGCGUGAAGGAUGAAGGUUCUAUGGAUUGUAAACUUCUUUUAUACGGGAAUAAACGAAUCCACGUGUGGAUUUUUGCAUGUACCGUAUGAAUAAGGAUCGGCUAACUCCGUGCCAGCAGCCGCGGUAAUACGGAGGAUCCGAGCGUUAUCCGGAUUUAUUGGGUUUAAAGGGAGCGUAGAUGGGUUGUUAAGUCAGUUGUGAAAGUUUGCGGCUCAACCGUAAAAUUGCAAUUGAUACUGGCAGUCUUGAGUACAGUUGAGGUAGGCGGAAUUCGUGGUGUAGCGGUGAAAUGCUUAGAUAUCACGAAGAACUCCGAUUGCGAAGGCAGCUUACUAACCUGUAACUGACAUUGAUGCUCGAAAGUGUGGGUAUCAAACAGGAUUAGAUACCCUGGUAGUCCACACGGUAAACGAUGAAUACUCGCUGUAGGCGAUAUACAGUCUGCGGCCAAGCGAAAGCAUUAAGUAUUCCACCUGGGGAGUACGCCGGCAACGGUGAAACUCAAAGGAAUUGACGGGGGCCCGCACAAGCGGAGGAACAUGUGGUUUAAUUCGAUGAUACGCGAGGAACCUUACCCGGGCUUAAAUUGCAACCGAAUAUGGCGGAAACGCUAUAGCUAGCAAUAGCGGUUGUGAAGGUGCUGCAUGGUUGUCGUCAGCUCGUGCCGUGAGGUGUCGGCUUAAGUGCCAUAACGAGCGCAACCCUUGCCGAUAGUUACUAACAGGUCAUGCUGAGGACUCUGUCGGGACUGCCAUCGUAAGAUGUGAGGAAGGUGGGGAUGACGUCAAAUCAGCACGGCCCUUACGUCCGGGGCUACACACGUGUUACAAUGGGGGGUACAGAGGGCUGCUACCACGCAAGUGGAUGCCAAUCCCAAAAACCUCUCUCAGUUCGGAUUGAAGUCUGCAACCCGACUUCAUGAAGCUGGAUUCGCUAGUAAUCGCGCAUCAGCCACGGCGCGGUGAAUACGUUCCCGGGCCUUGUACACACCGCCCGUCAAGCCAUGGGAGCCGGGGGUACCUGAAGUGCGUAACCGCAAGGAGCGCCCUAGGGUAAAACUGGUGACUGGGGCUA